CCUACGGGUGGCAGCAGUGGGGAAUAUUGCGCAAUGGGCGAAAGCCUGACGCAGCGACGCCGCGUGAGGGAUGCAGGUCUUCGGAUCGUAAACCUCUGUCAGCAGGGAAGAACGGUCACUGUGCUAAUCAGCAGUGACUUGAUGGUACCUGCAAAGGAAGCACCGGCUAACUCCGUGCCAGCAGCCGCGGUAAUACGGAGGGUGCGAGCGUUAAUCGGAAUUACUGGGCGUAAAGCGCUCGUAGGCGGUAUGUCAAGUCAAGGGUGAAAUCCCCGCGCUCAACGUGGGAACUGCCUUUGAAACUGGCAAACUAGAGUGUGUGAGAGGAUAGUGGAAUUCCAGGUGUAGGAGUGAAAUCCGUAGAUAUCUGGAGGAACAUCAGUGGCGAAGGCGACUAUCUGGCACAUAACUGACGCUGAGGAGCGAAAGCGUGGGUAGCAAACAGGAUUAGAUACCCCAGUAGUC
rnacentral:rRNA from 1 species